UUUUUUUUUUUUUAAAAAAUUUUUCUUAAAAAAAGUUAUUUUUUUUUACCAGUGAAUAAAAAUAUAAAAAAAAAUUAAAAAAAAUAGACAUUCGAAUGUAUACAUAUAUAUAUAUAUACUACGUACUUACACUCGUGUAGAAAGAAAGGUUACAAUAGUCACGUUCAGCUCUGAUGGUGAAUCUAUAUAUACAUAUUUUACAUUUGUACAUUUAUAUAUUUAUACGUAUAAAUAAAUAAAUAUAUAUAUAAAUAUUUUUUAUACAUAUUCACAUUUAUUUGUGUUAAAUUAAAAUGUUGUUAAUCUUUUUACUGUAACUGAAAAAAAAAGUAAAAAAUGAAAAAUAAAAUAGGGAAUAAAGAAUAAAGAAUAAAUUAAAAUUUAUACUACAUAUGACAUAAAGGACCAUUUGUGUUUAAAAUGUUUUUAAUAUUCUACGUAAAAAAUAUGGGAGGAAAUAUAUAAAAAAAAAAAAAAAAACAAAAAGCGAGCCAUUACGAAAGAAACAUCAAUGCAAAAAUAGAACGGACCAUAAUAAAAGUAUAGAAAAACAUAACGGAAUUAACGAAAUAUAAAAAGCUUUUAAUUUUGAUAAAACUAAGCAAGUGCUCGUCACUUCAUCGGUACAAUUGAUAUCCGUUUUAAGUGUAAUGUUUGUGUGCUUGAAACAAUAAUUUUUUUAAUAGUGAUUAAAUUUUUGUUUAUGGGGGGCAUUUCAGCGAAUGUGAUACAUACAUCGGUCAUAUAUAUAUAUAUAUAUAUAUUUAUUAUUAAUAAAAAUAUAAUAUAAAAGAUGCAAUUAAAUACGUUUUCAUGUGGUAAAUUAUGUAACCUAAGCUAUUUACUUAUUUAAAAAAAAAAAAAAAAAAAUGUUAAAAAUGAUAAAACGAUAUUUAAAAAUAUACCCAUCUAUUUAUUUCACUAAACAUAUAUAUAAUGCUCCUCAAAUAAAUGAAAACUUAGAAUUUUUAAAAAAGGAUUAUGUAUUUAAUCAAUAUGGAAAUAAAAAAGUGUUUUUAAAUAAUAAAUUAAAAAAAAAUAACAACGAAAAUGAAAUAAAAAGAGUAUAUUAUUUUAAAUUAUGGAAUGCAUUAACUGAAUAUAAUUUUACUUUAUUCGAAAAUACUAUCCAGCAAUUUUUAAAUGAAGGGCAUAAAUAUGAUGAAGUUAUUUAUUCUAUAUUUGCUCAUUCUUAUAUUUUAAAUCAUAAGAAAAAAAAUGAAAAUGCAUAUUUAGUUAUCGAAGAAAUGAAAAGAUGCUAUAUGCACCCCGCCGUAAUUAAUAUAAACCAACGAAUGAUAAAUUCGUUUUUAGAAUUAGAAAUGAUUUUUUGUGAACCAUCUAAAAGCUUAUGGAUAAAUAUAUGUCGAUUUAUUUGGGAAACAUCCAUAAAAUUAAACAGAAGUAGAAAAAGAAAAUUAAAAGAGAAAUUAAAUUUAUUAGCACCAAAUGAAGUACUAAAACUAACGAAAGAAGAUUUAAAACUUAUGUUAAAAAAAGAAUAUGAAGAAGCCAUAAUAAAUAUGAUAGAUACAUUAUCUCUAGAUGAUGAAUCACCAUAUGAACAUAUGCUUAUUGGAAAUUAUGAAGAUAAGCUUGAUGCGCAUAUAUAUCUUAAAGAUAGUUAUAGUGAAAUUAAUAACAUAGAGGAAAAUAAAAUAGAACAAACAUUAUCCUUUCCAUCAGCAGAAUUUGUACAAAAUAAUGAGCAAAACAUACUUAACUGUGAUAAUGCACAAAUUCAUUUAAGUAAUGUUGAAAAUGAUAAUAUAUACAACACUCUAUAUGAUGGUGAGGGUGAAUAUAGCAAAAAAGAUUUUUUUUUUUCCUUUAAAAAACAUGACACAGAUUAUAAGACUAGUAACACAACAAAUGAUGCAGAAGAAGAAAUGGAAGAAGAAAAAGAAGAAAAAAAUAAAUUAUAUUUUAACACAAACGGUAAAAAAAAUUACGACACGUUCGAAAAUGUAGUUGAUUCAGAUGAUAUAGAUAAUGAAGGAGAUGAUAAUGAUUAUGAGUCUUUUACUGAUAAUGAAGAUUUUGAUAUACAACUUUUAAAAAAGUAUUACAACAUGAAAUAAAUUUGUUAAUUAUUUAAAAAGAUAGAUAUAUACAAAGAAUAAAUAUGUGUUGUUGGAUUUACUUUUAUUUGAU
ensembl:lncRNA